rnacentral:lncRNA from 1 species
GAUGACAACAUUUGUCAAAUAAUGGAAUAGCAUAUUUUACUUGCUUAUAGAGUCUCAUUUCUUGAACAUUUUUAAGAAUAAAUUUGAUUAUUUAUGAAAUAAGCACUAGGUUCAGGACCAAAGCAAAAUCAUGCUAAUUACAGUCACUGUACCUCCUGAUCCAUUUACCGUACUCUGUCUUGUUUCAAUAGGCUUUCACACUGCAAUCCCUGUCUGUGGGUGACCUCUAAGUACAUUGGCUGGAGGCAAAGGCUUCUAUUUUCUUUGCCUGUUGGUAACCAGAGAAGGAUAUGGAUAUUGCUCAAAGAGAAAAAAUGCUCCAACUCUGCAUCAAAAGCAAGCUGCUGAUUGCUCAGGAAAGGAUGUGGUACCCGAACGAGCCAAGUGUUGAUUAUAAGAAAAGGGGAAGGCUUCCAGCUAGUUAAUGAAGCAACCUGCUAAUAGUUUUCUGAUUGGAGAAAGUGAUCAAGACCUUCCCUUUAGACACAGCAUCGUUUGAUUCCUCUCUCUCUCUUAUCCUCAGAAGGUUGGUGCAAUACAGUGGGAUGCUGUAGAAGGAGUCUAGAUAGGAUUUGCCAUUGAAUCUAAGGUUGAGUUCCUCUUCUAUUCACUGAAUGCCUGAACAGUGCUGAGUAAACUUACUGAGUUUCAGUUUCCUCACUUACACAAUGGGAAUUAUAACAGUCACCCAGUUAACUCAGUUGUGAACAUUUCAGAUAUCAAAGAGUACCAUGAACAAAACACCUUAAAUUACCUAUACAAGUAUUAACAUUUUGUUUCUGAUGCGGAGAAUCAGAAAUUAGCAUUUUUGUGUGUGUAAGGAAUAGCAAAUACCUUCAUGAUCAUAUUCAACGGUUUAUUUAAUUCCACCCUGAAUAAAGAUUAUUUUUUAAAGUAAAUUCCAAUUUACUCAUGUGUUAUGCUCUGAAAUCCAUUUGUAAAUUAGGUUUUGAAAUGCAUGGGAUAUUUUGCCAUAGAAACAAUGAUACAAAUGAUGGUGAAGUCCCCAGCACACUGGAAAUACUACUUUAGCCAAAGUAACUGAAAUGUUAGGCUUUUUGCAGGUGAGUCCCAGACCAAACCACUUUGCAGCAUCACCAUGUAGUAAAAAGAGGGAUUUCAGAGGCUGAGAAAUUAUUUGUGACUCUGCUGCUUUGAACAUGGUACAAAGGACUCUUGGUGCCUCAGAUAAUGGUUAUGUCCACUCCAAGUCCCCAGAACAUGAUCUGAAGGAACUAUGUGUUAGUUGCUCAGUCAAGUCCAACUAUUUGCGACCCCAUGGACUAUAACCUGCCAGGCUCCUCUGUCCAUGGAAUUCUCUAGGCAAGAAUACUGGGAUGGGUAGCCAUUCUCUUCUCCAGUGGAUCUUCCUGGCCCAGGGAUUGAACCUGGGUCUCCUGCAUUGACAGGCUGAUUCUUUACCAUCUGAGUCACCAAGCAAGCCCCAUUGCUUGGAAUAUCCACACACCUGUCUGCCCUGUACCCAGCACACACUGCACUGCUGCUGCUGCUGCUAAGCCGCUGCUUAGUCACUCGUGUCCGACUCUGCGUGACCUCAUAGACAGCAGCCCACCAGGCUCUGCCAUCCCUGGGAUUCUCCAGGCAAGAACACUGCAGUGGGUUGCCAUUUCCUUCUCCAAUGCAUGAAAGUGAAAAGUGAAAGUGAAGUUGCUCGCUCAUGUCCUUAUCUCCUCUCUAUUCAGCCUACACUUCCUGUCUGCAUUGUUAUGAGUGCCUGAAAACAAAUUCUUUAAAAGGGUAAGCUUUAUGGUGAAAUCCUUUCUUGCAGCUCCUACAGUAGA